rnacentral:rRNA from 1 species
GAUGAACGCUGGCGGCGUGCCUAAUACAUGCAAGUCGAGCGAACGGACGAGAAGCUUGCUUCUCUGAUGUUAGCGGCGGACGGGUGAGUAACACGUGGAUAACCUACCUAUAAGACUGGGAUAACUUCGGGAAACCGGAGCUAAUACCGGAUAAUAUUUUGAACCGCAUGGUUCAAAAGUGAAAGACGGUCUUGCUGUCACUUAUAGAUGGAUCCGCGCUGCAUUAGCUAGUUGGUAAGGUAACGGCUUACCAAGGCAACGAUGCAUAGCCGACCUGAGAGGGUGAUCGGCCGCACUGGAACUGAGACACGGUCCAGACUCCUACGGGAGGCAGCAGUAGGGAAUCUUCCGCAAUGGGCGAAAGCCUGACGGAGCAACGCCGCGUGAGUGAUGAAGGUCUUCGGAUCGUAAAACUCUGUUAUUAGGGAAGAACAUAUGUGUAAGUAACUGUGCACAUCUUGACGGUACCUAAUCAGAAAGCCACGGCUAACUACGUG